CAUUUAGAGCUGAUCUCUUCGGAGUGACGCACUUUAUGACUUAGUGGCGGACGGGUGAGUAACACGUGAGCAACCUGCCCUUCAGAGGGGAAUAACAGUUGGAAACGACUGCUAAUACCGCAUAAUGUCAUUUCAUCGCAUGGUGAGUUGACCAAAGAUUUAUCGCUGAAGGAUGGGCUCGCGUCCGAUUAGGUAGAUGGUGGGGUAACGGCCUACCAUGCCGACGAUCGGUAGCCGGACUGAGAGGUUGAUCGGCCACAUUGGGACUGAGACACGGCCCAGACUCCUACGGGAGGCAGCAGUGGGGGAUAUUGCACAAUGGGCGCAAGCCUGAUGCAGCAACGCCGCGUGCGGGAAGACGGCCUUCGGGUUGUAAACCGCUGUCCUUGGGGAAGAAACAAAUGACGGUACCCAAGAAGGAAGCCACGGCUAACUACGUGCCAGCAGCCGCGGUAAUACGUAGGUGGCAAGCGUUGUCCGGAUUUACUGCGUGUAAAGGGGGCGC
rnacentral:rRNA from 1 species